AGCUUCUUCUUGUUUUCUCUUUCCAUUUUUAGUAAUUUGUAAUUUUUCGCAGGAGUGUUUUGAGCAGAAUGAGCUCAACAGCCCCAUCACCAAAAUGCCCAAAAUUUGUUCCUGUGGAAGAGAGUACCAUCCAUUCAAUAAGUAAACCUGAUGGUAUCAGGUUUAGUCUUGUGUCGUAUAACAUUUUGGCUCAGGUAUAUGUAAAGAGUUCCUUGUUUCCACACUCUCCAUCCCCUUCUCUGAGGU